rnacentral:piRNA from 1 species
GCCUUUUUGGGAUGGUCUCGAUUACUGCAG